rnacentral:rRNA from 1 species
GCCCGUAACAUGCCACGCUGUCUGGAGGAUGGCUCGGCUUGAGAGCCGAAGAAGGGCGCGGCAAGCCGCGAUACAGCCUCGGGUAAGCGCAAGCAGCCUUAGAACCGAGGAUACCCGAAUGAGACUUCUCAACAACCGUGCGGUUGUUGCUCCUUAACGGAGCGGGAACCCCCCGAACGGAAGCAUCUUAGUAGGGGGAGGAAAAGAAACCAACAGGGAUUCCCUUAGUAGCAGCGAGCGAAAUGGGAACAGUCCAAACCGAAUCCCACAUAGAAAUGUGUGGGAGAUGUAGGGUUAAGGGCCUUGCUUGCUCUUCGCUGGUGAAGCUGAAGUGGCCUGAAAAGGCCCGCCAUAGAGGGUGACAGCCCCUUAAGCAUAAACCAGAAAGAGUUGCGAGAGUCCCAGACUACCACACCGUGGCUUCGGUGUGGAAACGGAAGUCACCAACUUCCAAGACUAAAUACGCCUCAAGACCGAUAGCGCACUAGUACGGUGACGGAAAACUGAAAAGUACCCCGGAAUGGGGGUGAAAAGUGCCUGAAACCAGACAGUUA